CAGUAGCGCGGUAAUACGUAGGUGGCAAGCGUUAUCCGGAAUUAUUGGGCGUAAAGCGCGCGUAGGCAGUUUUUUAAGUCUGAUGUGAAAGCCCACGGCUCAACCGUGGAGGGUCAUUGGAAACUGGGAAACUUGAGUGCAGAAGAGGAGAGUGGAAUUCCACGUGUAGCGGUGAAAUGCGUAGAGAUGUGGAGGAACACCAGUGGCGAAGGCGACUCUCUGGUCUGUAACUGACGCUGAGGAGCGAAAGCGUGGGGAGCGAACAGGAUUAGAGACCCGAGUAGUCCCUGUCUCUUAUACA
rnacentral:rRNA from 1 species